CAACACACCGAACGAGUCAUCGCUGCUGUUCCCCACCGCGGUGUCGCCGCUAUUGUUCCCCCACCGUCGCGUCGUCGCUGCUGUUCCCCCACCACCGCUGCUCAUUCCCCUCUCUGGUUCUUUGCGUCCUAGUUUUAAUUCUAGUUUCUUCCAGAUCGAAUUAAUUCAGUUGGGGCUUCUUCGUUGUUACCUUCUUUCUCCUUGGGCGAUUGCGACCAUGACAUCAAAAUUCUAGUACUGUGAAGCCUGCAAAUAAGGAAGUUGCUUCUGACACUGAAACAGAUAUGAAGAUUGAGGGAUUUGUCCAGCAGUGUCACAUUUUCUUCCAAAUCUCCUAUUCUUGGUGUGAAGAAUGCAACCACAAAGCUUGAGAAGUUGAAGUUUUCUGAUGGUCAACAUGUCAUCAUACCGCAGCAUAUCCAAGUCCAUGAUUCCGUAAAGAAUGUAUGAAUCUUUGGAAGCCUUGAUGCAAGUUUUGGGGUCGGGGAGAACUGUGUAGUAGACGGUGAAAGCAAUGGGAGCUUUAACCCUGUUACCGAUUCAGUUCACGAGGAACCUGUCAGUGAGCUUUCUUUAUGUGUGCAUAUCAGUUUCAGUGGCUUCAGUCUACUAUUCAAGGUAUUCAAUAAUCCGAGGGAGCGGCCUUUCACCUUUGAGGAGAUAGAUGAAGUUCAAGAAAUGUUGGCAAAUUUCAUUACCA